ACUUACUGCAUUCUUUUUUUGUUCUAUAAGGAAAUGAAUGACUUGUCUUCCGAACUAUACUGUAAGUUUCUGCCGAACAGAGGCUCUGUUACAAUUCUCUGCCAUUCUCAGUGUCUACCAUACAGCAAUGUUCUACAAAUACUUGUUGCCUUGGAUAAACUGUAAAAACUGUUAAUAACUCUAGAGAAUAUACACUUACAACACUUCGCUCCAGCGCUGGGGAAUACAAGUAGCAGACGUUUCUGUAGAUGUGUCACUCAGACUCAACAUGAAAAAUUAGAGCAUGUUAAGACAGAGGAAACUGGAUGAAUGUUCCUAUGUUUUCGUCUAUGCCACCAAAGAAGUAAAAUGCUUCCUCAAAUAUCCCACCCCUCUUAAAAUGAGAUGAGUUAGACUUCCC
rnacentral:lncRNA from 1 species